UAAAAAACUUUUAGCACAUCUUCUAAUCCAUCACCACCACCUCCACGUCUGUACUCCACCAUCUCAUUCCAGUGUUUCUCUUUCUUCUUCAGAUUAUCAAAAAAAUCAUACAUUUUCUUCUGUCACAUAAUUCUUCUAUUUCAAUACUUCAGCAAAAGAACAAUCAAUUGUUCUAACGAAGACGAUCUAGUGGUGAAGAACAGACAGCGAUGAAAGCGUAGACGGUAAGCACACAAAAAAUCUUUUUCUUUUUUUUCUCCUUUUUUUUCUUAAAUCAAUUGAUUCUCACAAUCAUGAUUUUGUUUACAUACUCUGUUUUUGUUUUUGAUUUUGUUUUACAGAUCUAGUGGUGAAGAACAACGACGGCGAAUCAGUUAAAGCAUCAUCGUGUCGGGAAAAAGAGAGGAGAUGAAGAUGAUCUCUAUAUGGUGGUGAACGAAAUGAAUGUGUAUCAGUCUGUCUAAAAAAAGAAGAAUUGAAAAAGAUGAAUUCACCGUCUAUACUAUAUUUGGUGAAAUGAAUAGUAUAGUAUAUAUUUUUAAGUGUAGCUACUUAUGUACGGUUACCAUACUAUUUGAGACA